rnacentral:rRNA from 1 species
UACAGAGGGUGCGAGCGUUAAUCGGAAUUACUGGGCGUAAAGCGCGCGUAGGCGGCUUUGCAAGUCGGGUGUGAAAUCCCCAGGCUUAACCUGGGAACUGCAUUCGAGACUGCGUUGCUAGAGUAUGGGAGAGGGAAGUGUAAUUUCCGGUGUAGCGGUGAAAUGCGUAGAUAUCGGAAGGAACAUCAGUGGCGAAAGCGACUUCCUGGACCAAUACUGACGCUCAUGUGCGAAAGUUUGGGGAGCAAACAGG